rnacentral:rRNA from 1 species
AUUGAACGCUGGCGGCAGGCCUAACACAUGCAAGUCGAGCGGAUCGGCUGACGGGUGCGUUUUGCCUAUUUCUCUGCCUGGUAGUGGGGGAUAACGUCCGUUACCGGGCGCUUUUACCGCAUCCUAUCAGAUUCGCCUCGGUCGGAUUGGCUUGUUGGUGGGGUAAAGGGCUACCAAGGCGACGAUCCGUACCUGGUCUGAGAGGAGGAUCAGUCACACUGGAACUGAGACACGGUCCAGACUCCUACGGGAGGCAGCAGUGGGGAAUAUUGGACAAUGGGCGAAAGCCUGAUCCAGCCAUGCCGCGUGUGUGAAGAAGGUCUUCGGAUUGUAAAGCACUUUAAGUUGGGAGGCGGUACCAAAAGAAGAAGCACCGGCUAACUUCGUGCCAGCAGCCGCGGUAAUUG